ACGCCUAAUACAUGCAAGUCGAACGAAGUAGCAAUACUUAGUGGCAGACGGGUGAGUAACAUGUAGGUAUCUACCCUUUGGCCUGGAAUAACACGAGGAAACUUGUGCUAAUACUGGAUAAGUCUUUACGGAGAAAGCUUUAUGCACCAUUGGAUGAGCCUGCACUUGAUUAGUUUGUUGGUGGGGUAAUGGCCUACCAAGACUGUGAUCAAUAGCUGAUUUGAGAGGAUGAUCAGCCACAUUGGGACUGAGACACGGCCCAAACUCCUACGGGAGGCAGCAGUAGGGAAUCUUGCACAAUGGAGGAAACUCUGAUGCAGCGAUGCCGCGUGAGUGAAGAAGGCCUUUGGGUUGUAAAGCUCUUUCGUCGGGGAAGAAAAUGACUGUACCCGAAUAAGAAGGUCCGGCUAACUUCGUGCCAGCAGCCGCGGUAAUACGAAGGGACCUAGCGUAGUUCGGAAUUACUGGGCUUAAAGAGUUCGUAGGUGGUUGAAAAAGUUGGUGGUGAAAUCCCAGAGCUUAACUCUGGAACUGCCAUCAAAACUUUUCAGCUAGAGUUUGAUAGAGGAAAGCAGAAUUUCUAGUGUAGAGGUGAAAUUCGUAGAUAUUAGAAAGAAUACCAAUUGCGAAGGCAGCUUUCUGGAUCAUUACUGACACUGAGGAACGAAAGCAUGGGUAGCGAAGAGGAUUAGAUACCCUCGUAGUCCAUGCCGUAAACGAUGUGUGUUAGACGUUGGAAAUUUAUUUUCAGUGUCGCAGCGAAAGCAAUAAACACACCGCCUGGGGAGUACG
rnacentral:rRNA from 1 species